AAUCCCGGCGGGAACCCCGGCUGCGGAAGGCGGCUGCGGCCGGCGGGAGCCGAGGGGAAGAAUGGAGCGCUGAGGAAGCGAGGCGCCAGCCCCAGCCGCUUCGCUGCCGCGGAGCCUGCACGACCGAGAGGUCGCGGAGAGAAGCCAGAGACAGGCCAGCGACCUGGCGAGGCAAGAAAAUAAGAUAACCGAACGCGUAGGGGGAGCUUGGCUUUCCCGAAAUGGAAGGGAAGGAAAUGAAAGGUGGGCUUUGCCGAGGGGGCUGUGCUUUAACCAAAGCCCUGGAUGACUGGGUUCAUGUUUCUGCAGCACCGGUCUCCGAGCUUUUUAAAGCACUUGGGUUUCUGCUUCGGCCUCAUGAAUGCAGCCUAACUGGAGAAACAGUGGUUUUUCUUAUAGAGAAAGAGCCAGAAAAUACCUUGCUCCUGCAGCGAUAACAAUAGUAAUAGUUGACUUCUGGUGCUUAGCCAGCCACUGGAUUAAAGUUUUUCAAGCACGAGCGCUUUGAAGUAGAUCGUUACUAUCACUAUUUUAGAGGGAAGGAAAUUGGCUUGGAAAAGCUAAGUGACUGGCCCCAGGUCGCACAGAUGGUAAACUCUUCCACUGAGACUCAAACCCAGAGCCGGUUCUUUUCUUUGAGGACAGUUGUUUCCGUAUUAUUAACCCCUUUUGGAUCUCUCUCUGUCUCUCAUACAUACAUAUAUAUAUAUAUAUAUAUAUAUAUAUAUAUAUAUAUAUAUAUAUAUAUAAAAUCCAGGUGAGCUCUAACGUUCACCCCCAUUUUGAUGUUCUGUUAAAUAAGCUCUGUGUUGACCACUGAAACUGACCUUGUCCAUAAUAGCCUAUAAAACAGAGACUAGCAGAGAUUUGUUUUCAUCUGUUCUGUUGUAAUCCCAUAAUGUCUAGAAUAUUUGGCUCCUAAUGCAUAUCUGUUGAUACUGAAAUUAUGGUGACACUAAGAAAAAUAUCUUGGUUUCUUGUAGUACCUUUCCUCUUAAGUAUUGCAAGAACUUAAAAUGUGUAUUUAUUUAUUGUUAUUAUUAUAUUCUCAGUAUGUCCUGGUGGAAUAUGUUGGAUACCUGUUUUCCUCUCUUUUACCAUUGGAAAAUCUGUAGCUUGGAGCCAUUAGGUCACUUGCCAGAGUCACACACUGAGUCAGAGGUGAAAGCCUCAAUUAGUCAGAUCCAUAACUUCCUGUCUAGUGCUGUAACUUCUGUGGAAGACUGUGUAUUUAUAUAACAAUGCUCAUUGCAGUAACACACUGCUUUUAUUUAUUGAUUUAUUUAUUUUAGACAGAAUCCCCCUGUGUUGCUCAAGCAUGGAAUGCAUAGGGCACUGCAGCCUAAAACUCCUAGGCUCAAGCAAUCCUCUUGCCUCAGCCUCUGGAGGAGUAGCUAGUACCACAGGCUCUUGCCAAGGCGCCCUCCAGUAACACACUGUUUUCAGAUGCUUGUUUACUAAAGGAAAAGAUAGUCUAUUCAAAGAGGACAGAUAUUUGGCUUCUACCUAAGUAUAGAGCCCACCUAGGUGUUCUAAAAAACACGAAGGUGAACUAGACACAGACCUGCUCUCAGAAUGUUUGAGUCCAUUGGGAAAGAUGAACCAGGUACUCACAGACUGUAAGUCAAGGCUAUCACUGUACCUGGCUUUUAAGACCCUCUGUGAUAGGAACCCAGACUUAUUUUGCCACUUUCUUACUCUGUAACCUUAGGCAAGCUACUUAACUUCAUCUCUAAAAGGAGGAAAAUAAUUAUAUCUACUUGAAAGGGUGUUGUGAAGAUUUAUUGAAUUGAUUAAUAUAAAGUUCUUAGAACAGGGCCUGGUUCAUGGUAAGUACGAUGUGUGUCAGCUGUUGUUAUUAUUAUCACUGUUACUGUCAUUAUUCAUCCUAUACUUAAGCUUGUCCUGGGUGUUUGAUAGUCCCUGAAUUGGUUGUCUGCUCUCAUACUCCCAGCCAGAUGUUGCAUGCCUUUAUCUCUGUUCUCCAAACAUCUUUUCACUACUCUCUUAGAGAACUGGCCACAUUUUGCUUUGAAUAGUUCUUUGUAUACAUGACUCACUAGUUGCCAAAGUGUCUGAAAGGACUUUGCAUGUACUCUGCAGCUUACUGGAAACAUUUAGAGCAGGAAGAGGACAAGCAGGAUCACGCUGUAAGCAGGGUAAUUCAGAGUCUGGGGAACACUCUAAGCAGGAAGGGUGACCCCCUACCUCUGGGGAAGAGCUGGCAGUCACAGACCAAGUCAUGUUGGCUGGUAUCCCUGCCCCACAGGGUUUCAAUGUCAGGAAAAGAUAUGGAACGCAGCAAUGGGAGUGACAGUGGAAUUGCUUCAGCUGACUAGCAUCCAUGCUCCCUAUACCACCCCCUACACACACACACACACACACACACACACACACACACACACAGGUGUCAAUCCACUAUACUUCUGGGGAGCUCACUCCACCACCCUCAGUUUCAAGGGUCUUUUGACCUGGGCCUCACCAAGCAAAGCAGCACACUCCUCUGGCUUCUGUAACUGAUUUAGGGAUAGGCUCAUGAAUCAAACCAAGACAAUCGGGCCCAACCAGAAUUAGAAAUUGCAUUUGGUAUACCAGGGCACUCCAUCUAAAGAAGGCCUACCUGAGAAUGAAGCCAAGCACAGCAGAGAGGAGAGCAAAAAUAUUGAAAAAGACAAGUUCCUUAGAAUAUAGCAUGACUUGAGCCUUGGACUUUGCAGUUACAUGAGCUAAAAAUGUGCUGGAAUUUUUUUGGGGGUGUGGCUGGUUUUUCAUUAGGUUUGCUUUCAUUAGCAGUUCAAAGUCUUACCUGAUACAGGACUUCAUUCAGUUAACUAACAUUCAUUAAGUACUAUACUAGACCCUGGAAAUAUAGUGGUAAAUAGCGCAGUAUUUCUGUCCUCAAAGAGUUUAGGGUCUGGUAGAAGAGAAAAGUAAGUAAAUAGUAAGUUACAUGCUGAGACAGGAAAAAUUAAGGAAGCUAUUGGAGUGCAUAUAAAUUCUUGAUAGCACCAGUUCUCAAAUAUGAGGUGUUAAAAACUGGAUGGAAUUUAACCCUGUCCUUAGCCCUGUUAUAUAACCUAGGAGAAAGGCUGGCUGCAACUCCGGGAGCAUGAGUAGCCCAAUUCAGAAUUCAGGGCCCAAGCUCCCCACUGAUGGAAAGAUACAAAGAAACUACUUGCCAGAAGCCAGGACCAAUUUGGCAGAGUCUACUCAAAACAGUGAGUUUUAGGUAAGAAAGCCUCAGAACAGUUUUCAUUAGACAUACCAGUGUACUAAGUCCCUCAAGCAGAAAACUUAGGGAUAUGACAGAAAAAAAAAAGUAAAGAGAAAAGAAGGUGGGAAAAUUAUGAGUUUUGCAUUCUACCCUUUAUUGAACUUGGGUCUACCCGCUUUAAUGUAGCACCAAGGAGGAUUGUGGAGGGGUCUGGUCAAGGGUCUAAGGCUACAGUACAAAGAAAUAGAGUUUUCGGGUCAUGAUGGAUUAAGUUCUGGCUUUGCAGGCAGAAUGUGUUCUCUUUUGGGAUUUGGGGGAGCAUAGGGAAUGGUUCCUUUUUUUCAGGCAUGGGCUUUUUUUUUUUUUUGAGACGGACUCUCACUCUGUAGCUCCAGCUGGAGUGCAGUGGUGCAAUCUUGGCUCACUGCAAGCUCCGCCUCCCGGGUUCACACCAGUCUCCUGCCUCAGCCUCCCGAGUAGCUGGGACUACAGGUGCCCGCCACAAUGCCCGGCUAAUUUUUUUUUAUUUUUAGUAGCGAUGGGGUUUCACUGUGUUUGCCAAGAUGAUCUCGAUCUCCUGACCUCGUGAUCCACCAGCCUCGGCCUCCCAAAGUGCUGGGAUUACAGGCAUGAGCCACUGCGCCCGGCCAGGCAUGGGUUUUUAUGAAACACCGCUGGUUUCAUACAAUAAGAUCAACAUGGAGCUUCCUUCUUUGGAAGCCUCUAGCAAGGCCAAAUGAAUGUGGCCCAGAGAAAGGGAGAACUGAGGCAUGAUAUGUGGGUUUACCUCAAUCCCAAACUAAAGCCUAGGAGUUGGACACUAAAUCUAAGCUACAGAUGCUUUUGCCUGACUUUGUCCUAUGUGCUUCACUUCCUGUCAAUAUCUAGCAAGUGUAAUUUUUGCAGGGGGAAAUUAAGGGGUCCUCAACCUGGCCAUACUUAACAACUAAUAGCACCCACAUUUACUUUGUUGUAAUACUCACCACACUAUUGAAGUAUUGUCUGUUAAUCUUUGCACCCCAUCGAACUUGAUCUCUUGUUCACCAUUGUAUUUCCAGUAUCUAAUACACUGCCUGGUCCAUUAUAAUAACUUAGUAAAUGUUUUUGAGUGAAUAAAUGCCAUGAACUAAAGUAUUUUUAGAUCCUGCCUGUAUUCAUCCGUUUUCAUACUGCUAUAAAGAACUGCCCAAGACUAAGUAAUUUGUAAAGGAAAGGGGUUUAAUUGACUAACAGUUCAGCAUGGCUGGGGAGGCCUCAGGAAACUUACAACCAUGGUGGAAGGUGAAGGGGGAGCAAGGCAGCUUCUUCACAAAGCAGCAGGACGGAGAAGUGCCAAGCAAAGGGGGAAGAGUCCUUAUAAAACCAUCAGAUCUCCUGAGAACUCACUCACUAUCACAAAAACAGUAUGGGGGAAACCGUCCCCAUGAUUCAAUUACCUCCACCUGGUCUCUUCUUUGACACGUGGGGAUUAUGGGGAUUACAAUUCAAGAUGAGAUUUGGGUGGGGACACAAAGCCUAACCAUAUCACUGCCUUAAUUUAUAUUUCCCCAAAAAUAGAGCUUGAGGCUUGGAUGCAGGUAGUUUAUUAGGAAGUGAUGCUAAGAAGCUGGAAUGAGGAAGUGGAGAGAGUAGAACAGAGAAGGGAAAGCCAGUAAAUAGUGUUGUUGAGGUGUUACCACUGUGGGCAAUUUAGGCUCAAUCCCGCCUGCAACCUGCGUAAAGUGUGGAGUGCACCUCAGAAUUGUCUCUUUGAGGCUCAGUAUUUACCUGAUGCCAUCUAGAUCUCUUGGCUGAAGGCUUACUAUUGGAAUAUUAACUGCCCGCACACUUAAUACUACAAAAAGCUAAGAGACAUGGUGUGUGUUUCUGGUGGCCAGCUAUCAGUGCCCCUGAGAAUUGUUCACCACAGCUACACCUAAAAUCGGAAAGGAGCCAUGGGGUGAAGUACAGGGUACCAACAGUGUCUAUUACAGAUCCCCUGAAAGUAAUGCAGAGACUACAAUAGGGAUCUUGCCAGAAUAGAACGUAUUUGCACCUCAUGGUUCUGCUGCUUUACAGAAUUGGGAAAGACCAAAAGGCCAGACCACCUGAGUCAAAAUGGCCCACAAUGCAAGCUCAGUGCCUACUUUAAAAAUAGGUCCAUAAUGUUUUUCCUCAAUGGACUAUUAUAUCAGUAGAAAAAAACAGUUUUUCCCAUACUCUAACAACAUGCUUCUGACACCAGAUAUGUGGGAUUUUUUUCCCCAUACAUCAAGCAAGCAAUCGAUUCUGCAGCAGACACCAGUUGAGUCUCCUCCAAUUCCGUUCUGGAGUUCUGGAAUCUACCUGAAGUUCAGUUCUGACACUGUCUACCUGGAGUUAGCGUCAGAUCCCACAGGUUGAGGGCUUGGUCCCACAAGACUGCCCCCCACAUCCAGUGCCAAUUGCAAGCCACAGGUUGUUCUACCAGUGCUUUGACUGACUGUAAGUUGGGGUUCCCACAACCCCUUUCCUUGAGUUUGAUUAAUAUACUAGAGCAGAACACAGGGGAAUAUUAAUAUUUACCAGUUUAUUAUAAAAGAUAUUACAAAGGAUAAGUAGAAAAGAUGCAUAGGGCAAGGCAUGUGGGAAGGAGCGCAGAGCUUCCAUGCCUUCUCUAGGUGCACCACCCUCCAGAAACCUCUACAUGUUCAGCUCUCUGGGUUUUGGUAGAGGCCUCAUUACAGAGGCAUGAUCAACUAAAUCACUGGCCACUGAUGAUCAACUUAAUUUUCAGCCCCUCUCCCCUUCCUGGAGGUUAGGUGGUAGGGCUAAAAAGUCCUGUAUUAAUCCGUUUUCAUGCUGUUGAUAAAGACAUACUUGAGACUGGGCAAUUUACAGAAUUAAGAGGUUUAAUGGACUUACAGUUCUACCUGGCUGGGGAGGCCUUACAAUCACGGCAGAAGGCAAGGAGGAGCAAGUCACGUCUUACAUGGAUGGCAGCAGGCAAAGAGAGAGCCUGUGCAAAGAAACUCCCAUUUUUAAAACUAUCAGAUCUUCUGAGACCUAUUCACAAUCACAACAACAGCACGGGAAAGACCCGCCCCCGUGACUCAGUCAUCUCCCACCAGGUUCCUCCCACAACACAUGGGAAUUAUGGGAGCUACAAGAUGAGAAUUGGGCAGGGACACAGAGCCAAACGGUAUCAGUCCUAAACCUCUAAUCGUCUUUUACCAGCCCCCAUCCUGAAGCUACACAGAAGCUGCCAGCCACCAGUCAUUUUAUUAGCAUACAAAAAAAUUAUUCCUUUGGAAAUCACAAGGAUUUUAUGAGUUUUAUGCCAGGAAAUGGAAUGAAGACCAAGUAUAGAUUUUACAGUAUCCAGCUAUAUUUCAAGGUAGUCAUAUUUGAUGAAGUAAAAUUCUUUUAAAAGAAUUUCAGCUAAGAAAUGCAGACUCAGAUGAAAUAAUUAAGCUAAACCUGUAUAAUCCAAUACCGUAGCCACAAGCCACAUGUGGCCACUUAAAUUCAUUAAAUAAAACUAAAAAUUGAGUUUUCAGUUUUAUUAGGCAUAUUUUAAGUAUUCAGUAGGCCACAGGUGGCUAAGGGCUGCCAUACUGGACAGUAUACAGACAGAACAUUUCCAUUAUCAUAUGAAGAUCUGUUGGACAGCACUGAUCCAAAGAUCAUUGCUGCUAAACCAUUAGAUAAGAGCCUUAUGGGGAACUUUAAAUGGUUGGAUCAGGCUGAUAAGACCAGAACCCACUGAUGAAUCUUAACAUCAAACACACACACACCCAGAGUUAACCAGUCAAACACACCAGAGGCACUAUGUGCCUCAUCACAUGAUAUAAAGAAGGGAGUGUAAGAUGAUACAUCUAUGGAAGAUGUAUAGGAUGUAUACAGCAUCACCUAUGAAACAUUCCUGGCAGAUAUUUAAAGCUAAUGCUUGUUCUGUUUAUAGAAAAUAUAGGAGAUGAAAGAACAUGUCAAACAAUAUGCUUGGGUUAAAAUUAGCAAAAUUCAAAAUACGGGAAAUUUUAUAGGACAUAAUGACCAAGUUCCUUUAACAAAUAAAUUUCAAGGAAUAAAAAAAUAUUAGAAGUAGAGUAAGCAUAUAAGCAACAAGAGGUAAAUUGGACAUAAUCAAAAUGUAAAGUUUUUGUGCUUCAAGGACACCAUCAAAUUGAAAAGACCACCCACAGAAUGGGAGAAAAAUUUUUACAAAUUGUUUAUCUAAUAAGAAACUUACAUCAAGAAUAUAUAUAAAGAACUCUUAUAAGUCAAUAAUAAAAAGACAACCCAGUUUUAAACUUGGCAAACAAUUGGAAUAGACAUUUCUCUGAAGAAGAUAUGCAUAUGCAGAUGGCCAGCACACAUAUAAAAAGAUGAUCAACAUCAGUAUCGAUCAGGGAGAUGCAAAUUAAAACCACAGUGAGAUGCCACCUCACAGCCACUAGACUGACUAGAAUCAUAAGGACAGAUAUUAAUAAGAGUUGAUGAGGGUGUGGAGAAAUUGGAGUUCUCAUAUACAACUGGUGGGAAUGUAAUAUGGUGCAGUCACUUUGGAAAACAUUCUAUCAACUCCUUAAAAGGUUAAACAUAAGUUACUAUAUGACCUAGGAAUUCCACUCCUAGAAAUAUACCCAAGAGAAAUGAAGAUAGAUAGAUAGAUAGAUAGAUAGAUAGAUAGAUAGAUAGAUAGAUAGAGAAACUUGUACACCAAUAUUCAUAAAAGCAUAAUUCAUAAUAGCCAAAAAGUAGAAACAACCCUAAUGUCCAUCAGCUGAUGAAAGGAUAAAUAAAAUGUGUAUCCAUUCAAUGGGAUUGAUGUGAUUUGGCUAUGUCCUCACCCAAAAUCUCAUCUUGAACUCUAAUCCCCACAUGUCCAGGUGGAGGAAAUCAGAUCAUGGUGGUUUCUCCCAUGCUGUUCUUGUGAUAGUCUCACAAGAGCUGAUGGUUUUAUAACCAUCUGGCAUUUCCCCUGCUUGCACUCAUUCUCUCCUGCUGCCCUGUGAAGAGUGCCUUCCGCCACGAUUGUAAGUUUCCUGAGGCUUACAGCUAUGUGGAACUGUGAGUAAAUUAAACUUCUUUUCUUUAUAAAUUACCCAGUCUCAGGUAUUUCUUCAUAGUAGCAUGAGAAUGAACUAAUACAAGGAUAUUAUUCCAGAAAUAAAAAGAAAUAAAAUACUGGUACAUGCUGAAAUAUGGAUGGACUUUGAAAACAUUAUGCUGAUUGACGUAAUCCAGUAUUUAUUUUGGGAGAAAAUGAUAUAAGGUAUGACAUUUGCUUUAAAAAUAACCCAACAUGGGUUUCUGUUGAUGGGUGUUGAAGCUGGGUAAGAGAAUAUGGGGUUUCAUUACAUCGUUUUUUAUAAGUUGAAAAAAGGCCCUCAAAUGAGUAUUAUGUCAGAAGAGAGAAGACAACUUACUGAUUAGAGAAGAAAGGGUUGAAAGCUUAGCUCAGAGAAUGAAUCAAUCAUGAAGCCAGUCUAAAAGGUCUAAGCAGCCAGAGGUUAGAGUAAUCACACAAGUAGAGGAACUGUCUGGCCAAAGGCCGUCUUGGAACCAAUGUCUAUAGUGCCCUAUUGUGCACCAUUCUCAUUUUAUUUCACUGAGCUGAGAACUGAGUGAGACCUGCUGGACAUUACUGAUUAUGGAUCUGGGCAGAGAUGAGCCCAGUGUUCUUUAGGAACAGUAGGGCAGAUCUGGGACAAGCAGGUCUCACACAGAGAAAGGACAGAAACAUCAAAGUUCAAAAGAGUUGCAGUCAUGGAAAGGUUCUGUCAGGUGGGAGACUGUACAUGUUUGUAGGUUAUGGGGGAGGACUAGAGGAGUGAGAAAAAGUGAAAAUAUUGAGAGAUACUUUUGAUAAUCUUGAAAAGAAAGAGGUAUCUUUCACCUGCUUGGGAGGGAAGAAAAGGUUGGAAAACCACACAGCAUUUUAGAGGUGGAAAUAAGGGAAGUUGAGGGAGCUUAAUUCAGCAUUUCAUUUUCUCACUAAAUGUAAUGAUGUAAGGCUAGUAUAUUAGUUUUUUGCCACUGCCUGACCAAAAGUGAUGGUCCCCUUUGUUGUAUAAUGUAAACUAUCAAGCAAUCGGCUAUCUCAUAUCCAUAAGGCCUGCCCACAUGAAACGGGAGAGCCUAUACAGGACAUGUAUGCCAGGGACAGGAAUCUUGGUAGAACUGCCUACUACAGCCAGGUAAGGAUGAGAAUCUUGAAUGUAUGAUCCCACAUUGCUGGAAAUGGUUCACUCCAUGAACUAGGAGAUAAGGCCUUGGAUAGGGAACUAGGGACCAUAUUGAAAACUUACCAAGAAAUACGGAGAACCAAAUGGGGAAGGUGCUGAAAGUCAUAAUCCCUCUUGAAACAGAGGGAGCAGGGGACUGAAGAUGAGAAAAAGUGGGGUUUUAGUUCUGGCUCUGCCACAAUCUUACUAUAAAGUUUUGAGCAAAUCACAAACUUUCUGGGCCUCUCUUUCUUCAGCUAUAAAAUAAAGGUGAUAAAAUUAGAGGAUUGCUAAGGUAAAUAACAUUUCUCUGUUACCAUUAUCGUAUGGUACUUGUACAAGUAUAGAAAAAGAAUUGUAGGAUAUUCUUUUUCCAAAUACUUUAAAGAUUUGCAUUAUUUGUUUGGGGACUACUUAGGCAUAGCCUUGCUUAAAGGUAGGGAAAAGGUAGAUGAUUACCACUUAAGAAUGCUGCCAAGCCGGGCACAGUGGCUUACACCUGUAAUCCCAGCACUUUGGAAGGCCGAGGCAGGCGGAUCACCUGAGGUCAGGAGUUAGAGACCAGCCUGACCAGCAUGGAGAAACCCUGUCUCUACUAAAAAUACAAAAUUAGCUGGGUGUGGUGGCCCAUCCCUGUAAUCCCAGCUACUUGGGAAGCUGAGGCAGCAGAAUCGCUGGAACCCAGGAGGCAGAGGUUGCAGUGAGCCGAGAUGGCGCCAUUGCACUCCAGCCUGGGCAACAAGAGCGAAACUGUCUCAAAAAAAAAAAAAAAAGAAUGCUGCCAAGCCAAUAAUCAUGUGGUUCUGAAAUAGAAUGUCAUUUUAUACCUUAGCUCUGGUAUUUGCUGUUUUGUUUCUUUACUUUUUAUUAUUUUUUAAAAAAUUAUUUGUUUGUUUAUUUAUUUAUUUUGAGACAGAGUCCUGCUUUGUCACCCAGGCUGCAGUGCAGUGGCAUGUUCAUGGCUCACUGCAACCUCACUCUCCUGAGCUCAAGCGGUCCUCCUGCCCUAGCAUCCAAGUAGCUGGGACUACAGGCAUGAACCACCGUGCCCAGCCUUGUCUCUACCUUUAAUUUUUAGUAGAGAUAAGGUCUCACUAUAUUGCCCGGGCUGGUCUGGAACUCCUGGGCUCAAGCUAUCCUUCCGCCUUGGCCUCCCAAAGUCCUGGGAUUACAGGUGUGAGCCACCGCACCCAGCCUAGUAUUUGCUGUUUUAAUCUAUCUGCAAUUUGUUUUAGUUCUCUGCUUUCUUGACUGUUUUAGCUUUAUUAUACCACAUGACUCUUUUACCAAAGGUGGGAUAUUCUUUCAAGUCCAUUCUGAAUCAGAUUCUGACUCUGCUUCUGUCCCUGCUUCUAGAUGUAAUAAAUUACCCAAUAUCUCUUAUUUUUACCUUCUCUACUUCUCAGAGAUUAUAAUAGAUACUUUUGAAGGAUUUUGUGAAAAUAAUUGAUUCUACAAAAAUAGUUUUUAAAGCUACAAGUAGAAAUAAUUUAAAUAUUGCAAUAAAAGUUCAUUUUUUAAAUUUUAUUAUUAUUAUACUUUUAAGUUUUAGGGUACAUGUGCACAAUGUGCAGGUUUGUUACAUAUGUAUACAUGUGCCAUGUUGGUGUGCUGCACCCAUUAACUCAUCAUUUAGCAUUAGGUAUAUCUCGUAAUGCUAUCCCUCCCCCUCCCCCCACCCCACAACAGUCCCUGGUGUGUGAUGUUCCCCUUCCUGUGUCCAUGUGUUCUCAUUGUUCAAUUCCCACCUAUGACUGAGAACAUGCAGUGUUUGGUUUUUUGUCCUUGCGAUAGUUUGCUGAGAAUGAUGGUUUCCAGCUUCAUCCAUGUCCCUGCAAAAGACAUGAACUCAUCCUUUUUUAUGGCUGCAUAGUAUUCCAUGGUGUAUAUGUGCCACAUUUUCUUCAUCCAGUCUGUCAUUGUUGGACAUUUGGGUUGGUUCCAAGUCUUUGCUAUUGUGAAUAGUGCCACAAUAAACAUACGCGUGCAUGUGUCUUUAUAGCAGCAUGAUUUAUAAUCCUUUGGGUAUAUACCCAGUAAUGGGAUGGCUGGGUCAAAUGGUAUUUCUAGUUCUAGAUCCCUGAGGAAUCGCCACACCGACUUCCACAACGGUUGAACUAGUUUGCAGUCCCACCAACAGUGUAAAAGUGUUCCUAUUUCUCCACAUCCUCUCCAGCACCUGUUGUUUCCUGACUUUUUAAUGAUCGCCCUUCUAACUGGUGUGAGAUGGUAUCUCAUCGUGGUUUUGAUUUGCAUUUCUCUGAUGGCCAGUGAUGAUGAGCAUUUUUUCAUGUGUUUUCUGGCUGCAUAAAUGUCUUCUUUUGAGAAGUGUCUGUUCAUAUCCUUUGCCCAGUUUUUGAUGGGGCUGUUUAUUUUUUUCUUCUAAAUUUGUUUGAGUUCAUUGUAGAUUCUGGAUAUUAGCCCUUUGUCAGAUGAGUAGGUUGCAAAAAUUUUCUCCCAUUCUGUAGGUUGCCUGUUCACUCUGAUGGUAGUUUCUUUUGCUGUGCAGAAGCUCUUUAGUUUAAUUAGAUCCCAUUUGUCAAUUUUGGCUUUUGUUGCCAUUGCUUUUGUUGUUUUAGACAUGAAGUCCUUGCCCAUGCCUAUGUCCUGAAUGGUAUUGUCUAGGUUUUCUUCUAGGGUUUUUAUGGUUUUAGGUCUAACAUGUAAGUCUUUAAUCCAUCUUGAAUUCAGUUUUGUAUAAGGUGUAAGGAAGGGAUCCAGUUUCAGCUUUCUACAUAUGGCUAGCCAGUUUUCCCAGCACCAUUUAUUAAAUAGGGAAUCCUUUCCCCAUUUCUUGUUUUUGUCAGGUUUGUCAAAGAUCAGAUAGUUGUAGAUAUGCGGCGUUAUUUCUGAGGGCUCUGUUCUGUUCCAUUGGUCUAUAUCUCUGUUUUGGUACCAGUACCAUGCUGUUUUGGUUACUGUAG
rnacentral:lncRNA from 10 species